CAGCAGCCACGGUAAUACGAAGGGGGCUAGCGUUGUUCGGAAUUACUGGGCAUAAAGCGCACGUAGGCGGACAUUUAAGUCAGGGGUGAAAUCCCGGGGCUCAACCCCGGAACUGCCUUUGAUACUGGGUGUCUAGAGUAUGGAAGAGGUGAGUGGAAUUCCGAGUGUAGAGGUGAAAUUCGUAGAUAUUCGGAGGAACACCAGUGGCGAAGGCGGCUCACUGGUCCAUUACUGACGCUGAGGUGCGAAAGCGUGGGGAGCAAACAGGAUUAGAUACCCCCGUAGUCCCUGUCUCUUAUAC
rnacentral:rRNA from 1 species